rnacentral:rRNA from 1 species
UCUGCCCGAUAGUGGGGGAUAACCUGGGGAAACCCAUGCUAAUACCGCCUACGUCCUACGGGAGAAAGGGGGCUCCGGCUCCCGCUAUUGGAUGAGCCUAUGUCGGAUUAGCUAGUUGGUGAGGUAAAGGCUCACCUAGGCGACUAUCCAUAACUGGUCUGAGAGGAUGAUCAGCCACAUCGGGACUGAUACUCGGGCCGAACUCCUACGGGAGGCAUCAAUGGGGAAUAUUGGACAAUGGGCGAAAUCCUGAUCCAGCCAUGCCGGGUGUGUGAAUAAGGCCCUC